rnacentral:misc_RNA from 1 species
GAGUUCGCGGGAGAGUAAGUUAUUGCCAGGGUUUUUAUUUUUAUACUUUAAACUUUGAUUUUAUUUUUAUGUUUUUUAAAUAUUGGUGUUUUUGAAUGUGUUGUUUAAAUAACAUAAAAAAUAAAAUAUAUAUAUUGACAUGCAUUAAACAAAGAUAUAUAUUAUUUUAUGUUGUAUAAAUAAAUUGGCAAAAUAGAGAUGGAAGAUAAAAAUAUGGUCAAAGUAAUAAGAGUCUAUGGUGAAUGCC